GACGAACGCUGGCGGCGUGCCUAAUACAUGCAAGUUGAGCGCUGAAGGUUGGUACUUGUACCAACUGGAUGAGCAGCGAACGGGUGAGUAACGCGUGGGGAAUCUGCCUUUGAGCGGGGGACAACAUUUGGAAACGAAUGCUAAUACCGCAUAAAAACUUUAAACACAAGUUUUAAGUUUGAAAGAUGCAAUUGCAUCACUCAAAGAUGAUCCCGCGUUGUAUUAGCUAGUUGGUGAGGUAAAGGCUCACCAAGGCGAUGAUACAUAGCCGACCUGAGGGGGUGAUCGGCCACAUUGGGACUGAGACACGGCCCAAACUCCUACGGGAGGCAGCAGUAGGGAAUCUUCGGCAAUGGACGAAAGUCUGACCGAGCAACGCCGCGGGAGUGAAGAAGGGUGUCGGAUCGUGAAACUCUGUUGGUAGAGAAGAACGUUGGUGAGAGUGGAAAGCUCAUCAAGUGACGGUAACUACCCAGAAAGGGACGGCUAACUACGUG
rnacentral:rRNA from 1 species